CGUACGUGAGGCACUAAUACUGUAAUGCUCUAUAUAGAAAUUACGUUUUACACACAGAAAGCAUAUUUUUUUUAUCGAAGCUCUAUUUGUAUGGUUUACACAUGCGUUGACCUCGUUGUUGAAUAUGUAUUUAUUCGUAUACAUUAUUUUGCCAAAGGUGUUUCCUAUUUGUAAACUGUCAAUCAAUGUGAGACGCGGUUAUUUCCCCCAAAGCGUUUGGAUUACACCCCCUAACCAGAAGUCACCUAAUUCAUAUUAGAUGACUCUUAAACUUUGAUCUGAUAAACUCCCAUGUUCAAAGAAUAUAAUAUUGCGGCAGUUAGUGGACGCCCCACUGGUGAAACCUGCUCAAAAUUUGAGUGACAGCUCUGAAGCCCCUCCCCUUUGCCGACAUUUUGCCUGGUACUGAAUGACAAACAGAUGAUUUGUGGGGCAGUGCUGGAAAACGAAUGUGCUCGUCAAACAAUGCGUUUUAUAAAUAUCCGAAAUGAGGUUUUUAUUUUUAAGCAGAAACAAAUGCAAUGGUGGAAACUAUUUACCUCACCAACAUGGCCGACUGAAAUACCGUAUGGCGUCUUAAAGACUCCUCAUUGGGUGAUUGGGCCGAACGAACGCAGGCUUGACGCUUUGCGAGUGAUGAUUGGAUGCUGCGAACGUCGAUCAACGGAAGGACCGCGUUGAAGGUGGUUAAGAAAACGUGGAACUGGAACGCCCGCUUGUUCUGUUAUUUCUCUCCUCCCACAUCAAGGACGGAUGAAAGGUGCUAGCAAAUACAUGUGCAGGAUUAGGUUUGCAGAUGGGUUUAUGAGGAGUUAUAGGCAUCUAUGAUUUUAUUUACAGGUAAGACGUUUGUCAGUUACCUUAAUAACAAAUAUGAUAUAUCACAUUGAUCAAAGGUUAUUUUUUAUUUAUUGAUUUGUUGUUAUCCUAAGUCACGUUUAUGGAUUUGUUUUUAUUUGGAUUUAAUCAGGAUAUUGCUUGUAAAUAAGGAUCUAAGGUCAUGCCUUUGCUAUACAAUUUUAUUGCAUUUGAAUUCCACUAUUCUGUUUGUAAGCAGUGUGUCUGUCAUUUCAGCAGACACUUAUUCAAAGCCAUUUACAGUAUAGCUACACUAAUUGCAUACACAGGGCCCCCUGGAGCAAACUGGAGUUAAGUGCCUCGCUCAAGGGCAAAAUGGUGAUAGAGCAGGAUUGUGAUAUCAGGCAGUCUUCUAUUCCUGGGUCACUGCUGCUUGGAAUUAAACAUGCAUUUGUGUUAGCCGCCCAUAUUCAUAACCACCUCUAAUUGUCUCAUACAUUUAUAAUCUGUCAUUUCAGCAAACACAAAUAUCAGACAUUGUCCGGCUCACCAGAGUGCCGAAUAAAUUAUUGUUUUAAUGAAUGUUUAAUGGAGAGUCAAAUUACAUCCUUCAAUCAAACUGAAGUAAUCUGCAAAGUUUACAGCCCUAGACACAAUUUCCCUGUGUUUGUCUGUUGCUGUACUCUCUCCCACACAAAACAUGUACAUUUCUUUUUAAACUAAUGUACAAAUAAUUAACAAAACGCUGGCAUUAUAUUUCUGCAAGUAUAGUAUGGAUAGUUCUUGAACACCUUGUCUCCCUAGAUCAACUGUUUGUGACAAGAUUUGCUGUUCAUUUCUAUACAAAUUUUUUAUAAAAUAAUAAAGAGACCAUAGACAAACUUGGCUCAGGUCUGACUUGUAAUGUAGUUGCUAUACUUAUUUGAAAAGGGUUUAGCCGUUUUGCUUUCUAUAAUGUUACACAAUAAAAAUACUUUACA